UCGCGAAUCAGAAUGUCGCGGUGAAUACGUUCCCGGGUCUUGUACACACCGCCCGUCACACCAUGGGAGUCGGGAAUGCCCGAAGUCAGUGACUCAACCUUAUUGGGAAGGGGAGCUGCCGAAGGCAGGUCUGAUAACUGGGGGUGAAGUCGUAACAAGGUACC
rnacentral:rRNA from 1 species